rnacentral:rRNA from 1 species
CGCCCCUUGGCUAUUCCGAGGGGCAUGCCUGUUUGAGUAUCAUGAACACCUCAACUCUCACGGUUUGCCGUGACGAGCUUGGAAUUUUGGGGGUUUUGCUGGCCUGCGGUCAGCUCCUCUCAAACGAAUCAGCUUCCCAGUGUUUGGUGGCGUCAUGGGUGUGAUAACUAUCUACGCUUGUGGUCAUCCGCCAGGUAACCUUCAGUGAUGGAGGUUUGCUGGAGCUUACAAAUGUCUCUCCUCAGCGAAGACAGCUUUUUAAACGUUCGAUCUCAAAUCAGGUAGGACUACCCGCUGAACUUAAGCAUAUCAAUAAGCGGAGG